UUGCCACGCCCGCUCAAGAACUCAAAGGAAUUGGACGGGGCCCGCACAAGCGGUGGAGCAUGUGGUUUAAUUCGAAGCAAUGCGAAGAACCUUACCAGGCCUUGACAUGCAGAGAACUUUCCAGAGAUGGAUUGGUGCCUUCGGGAACUCUGACACAGGUGCUGCAUGGCUGUCGUCAGCUCGUGUCGUGGGAUGUUGGGUUAAGUCCCGUAACGAGCGCAACCCUUGUCCUUAGUUACCAGCACGUUAUGGUGGGCACUCUAAGGAGACUGCCGGUGACAAACCGGAGGAAGGUGGGGAUGACGCCAAGUCAUCAUGGCCCUUACGGCCUGGGCUACACACGUGCUACAAUGGUCGGUACAAAGGGUUGCCAAGCCGCGAGGUGGAGCUAAUCCCAUAAAACCGAUCGUAGUCCGGAUCGCAGUCUGCAACUCGACUGCGUGAAGUCGGAAUCGCUAGUAAUCGUGAAUCAGAAUGUCACGGUGAAUACGUUCCCGGGCCUU
rnacentral:rRNA from 1 species